AUUGAACGCUGGCGGCAUGCCUAACACAUGCAAGUCGAACGCGAAAGUCCUUCGGGAUGAGUAAAGUGGCGCACGGGUGAGUAAUGCAUGAGAACAUGCCCUUAGAUGGGGAAUAACGUUUGGAAACGAACGCUAAUACCGCAUAAUCUCGAGAGAGUAAAGGUGGCGCCGCAAGGGCUACCGUCUAAGGAUUGGCUCAUGUCCCAUUAGCUAGUUGGCGGGGUAAUGGCCCACCAAGGCAACGAUGGGUAUGUGGUCUGAGAGGAUGAUCACACACACUGGAACUGAGACACGGUCCAGACUCCUACGGGAGGCAGCAGUAGGGAAUAUUGCACAAUGGGGGAAACCCUGAUGCAGCAACGCCGCGUGAGUGAAGAAGGCCCUUGGGUCGUAAAGCUCUUUAGCGAGGGAAGAGGGUAGAUACGGUGAAUAAUCGUGUUUGCUGACGGUACCUCGAGAAUAAGCACCGG
rnacentral:rRNA from 1 species